ACGGGAGGCAGCAGUGAGGAAUAUUGGUCAAUGGACGUAAGUCUGAACCAGUCAAGUAGCGUGAGGGAUGACGGCCAUAUGGUUGUAAACCUCUUUUGCGAGGGAAUAAAGUGCGUCACGUGUGGUGCAUUGCAUGUACCUUGCGCAUAAGGAUCGGCUAACUCCGUGCCAGCAGCCGCGGUAAUACGGAGGAUCCGAGCGUUAUCCGGAUUUAUUGGGUUUAAAGGGAGCGUAGGCGGGAAGUCAAGUCAGCUGUGAAAUGUAGGCGCUCAACGUCUGCACUGCAGUUGAAACUGGUUUACUUGAGUGCGUAAGAGGCAGGUGGAAUUUGUCGUGUAGCGGUGAAAUGCUUAGAUAUGACGAAGAACUCCGAUUACGAAGGCAGCUUGCUGGGCCGCAACUGACGCUGAAGCUCGAAGGUGCGGGUAGCAAACAGGAUUAGAUACCCUGGUA
rnacentral:rRNA from 1 species